AACGAACGCUGGCGGCAGGCCUAACACAUGCAAGUCGAGCGAGCAUUUCGGUGCUAGCGGCGGACGGGUGAGUAACGCGUGGGAACGUGCCCUUUUCUGCGGAAUAUUCCUGGGAAACUGGGGGUAAUACCGCAUACGCCCUUUUGGGGAAAGGUUUAUCGGAGAAGGAUCGGCCCGCGUUGGAUUAGGUAGUUGGUGGGGUAAUGGCCCACCACGCCGACGAUCCAUAGCUGGUUUGAGAGGAUGAUCAGCCACACUGGGACUGAGACACGGCCCAGACUCCUACGGGAAGCAGCAGUGGGGAAUCUUAGACAAUGGGGGCAACCCUGAUCGAGCCAUGCCGCGUGAGUGAUGAAGGCCUUAGGGUUGUAAAGCUCUUUCAGCUGGGAAGAUAAUGACGGUACCAGCAGAAGAAGCCCCGGCUAACUCCGUG
rnacentral:rRNA from 1 species